UGUUUGGUGGCGAUAGCGAAGAGGUCACACCCGUUCCCAUACCGAACACGGAAGUUAAGCUCUUCAGCGCCGAUGGUAGUCGGGGGUUUCCCCCUGUGAGAGUAGGACGCCGCCAAG
rnacentral:rRNA from 1 species